UACCAGCACCCCGAGUGGUCGGGACGUUUUAUUGGGCCUAAAGCAUCCGUAGCCGGUUCUACAAGUCUUCCGUUAAAUCCAGCUGCUUAACAGAUGGGCUGCGGAAGAUACUAUGGAGCUAGGAGGCGGGAGAGGCAAGCGGUACUCGAUGGGUAGGGGUAAAAUCCGUUGAUCCAUUGAAGACCACCAGUGGCGAAGGCGGCUUGCCAGAACGCGCUCGACGGUGAGGAUGAAAGCUGGGGGAGCAAACCGG
rnacentral:rRNA from 1 species